rnacentral:rRNA from 1 species
UACAGGGGGUGCAAGCGUUGCUCGGAAUCACUGGGCGUAAAGGGCGCGUAGGCGGCCAUUCAAGUCGGAGGUGAAAGCCCAGGGCUCAACCCUGGAAUUGCCUUCGAUACUGUUUGGCUAGAGACCGGAAGAGGUAAGUGGAACUGCGAGUGUAGAGGUGAAAUUCGUAGAUAUUCGCAAGAACACCAGUGGCGAAGGCGGCUUACUGGUCCGGUUCUGACGCUGAGGCGCGAAAGCGUGGGGAGCAAACAGG